GACGAACUGUCCUAACGUUGUUCGGAAUCACUGGGCUUAAAGCGCACGUAGGCGGCUUUCUAAGUCGGGGGUGAAAUCCUGGAGCUCAACUCCAGAACUGCCUUCGAUACUGGAGCUUGAGUCCGGGAGAGGUGAGUGGAACUGCGAGUGUAGAGGUGAAAUUCGUAGAUAUUCGCAAGAACACCAGUGGCGAAGGCGGCUCACUGGCCCGGUACUGACGCUGAGGUGCGAAAGCGUGGGGAGCAAACAGGG
rnacentral:rRNA from 1 species